rnacentral:rRNA from 1 species
UACGUAGGGGCCUAGCGUUGUCCGGAUUUAUUGGGCGUAAAGAGCGUGUAGGCGGUUCGGUAGGUCCGUUGUGAAAACUCGAGCUCAACCUCGAGACGCCGAUGGAAACCCCCGAACCUAGAGUCCGGAAGAGGAGAAUGGAAUUCCUGGUGUAGCGGUGAAAUGCGCAGAUAUCAGGAAGAACACCCGUGGCUAAGGCGGUUCUCUAGUACGGUACUGACGCUGAGACGCGAAAGCGUGGGGAGCGAACAGG